rfam:Dipodomys ordii contig_25743, whole genome shotgun sequence.
GGGAAUGUGGCUUAGUGGUAGAGUGCUUGCCUAGCAUGCAUGAAGCCUCAGGUUCGAUUCCUCAGUACCA